UGGGGAAUUUUGGACAAUGGGCGAAAGCCUGAUCCAGCAAUGCCGCGUGUGUGAAGAAGGCCUUCGGGUUGUAAAGCACUUUUGUCCGGAAAGAAAUCCUUGGCUCUAAUACAGUCGGGGGAUGACGGUACCGGAAGAAUAAGCACCGGCUAACUACGUGCCAGCAGCCGCGGUAAUACGUAGGGUGCAAGCGUUAAUCGGAAUUACUGGGCGUAAAGCGUGCGCAGGCGGUUUGCUAAGACCGAUGUGAAAUCCCCGGGCUCAACCUGGGAACUGCAUUGGUGACUGGCAGGCUAGAGUAUGGCAGAGGGGGGUAGAAUUCCACGUGUAGCAGUGAAAUGCGUAGAGAUGUGGAGGAAUACCGAUGGCGAAGGCAGCCCCCUGGGCCAAUACUGACGCUCAUGCACGAAAGCGUGGGGAGCAAAGCAGGAUUAGAUACCCCUGGUAGUCCCACGCCCUAAACGAUGUCAACUAGUUGUUGGGGAUUCAUUUCCUUAGUAACGUAGCUAACGCGUGAAGUUGACCGCCUGGGGAGUACGGUCGCAAGAUUAAAACUC
rnacentral:rRNA from 1 species